ACACGGCCAUACAACUCUGACAAUCUCAUCUGACCUCUGAAGCAAAGCAAAGUUGGGCCCGGUUAGUACGCGGUCGGGAGACCGAAUGGGAAUACUAGGUGCUGUAAGUU
rnacentral:rRNA from 1 species